UCUCCCGCUUCACCUCCCUGAGCGGGUGCCUUAAUCAAGUUAAGGCAUUUUGCCCCCGGCUACCCCUUUGCCGGGGGCUUUUUAU
rnacentral:ncRNA from 1 species